CGCGAGGGAACCGCUCAGGCGCCGCCGCCCCAGCCCAGUGCGGACGACGGGAGAGGGAGGAGGAAGGAGAAUACACUCGCUUGCUUGCUCCCACCCGCACUCGGGCUUCUAGAGCCGGCGCGGAGCCCAGGGGGAGGAGCCGCCGCGGGCACGCCCCGCCUCCGGCCCGGGAAGACGACGCCAGCGACCCCGCCGGCCGGCCACCGCCCCCCUAGCCGGCCGAGACCCGCCCCCGGCCCCGGCCCCGGCCCCGGCCCCGGCCCUCCCCCGGCGGCAUGGAGGGGCCCAGCUCUUGACGGCAGCGCCGCCGCCUCGGCCCCCGCCCCCCCUCCCGGCCCCGCCCGCCUGCCCGCCCCCGCUCGCAUGUCCGCGCCGCCUUAGCCGAGGAUGCUGAGGAUGAAGCUGCCGCUGAAGCCGACGCACCCCGUGGAGCCGCCGCCCGAGGCGGAGGAGCCCGAGGCAGACGCACGGCCGGGCGCUAAGGCGCCGCCGCGCCGCCGCCGGGACUGCCGACCCCCGCCGCCGCCUCCCGCGGGCCCGCCGCGGGGCCCCCCGCCGCCGCCGCCGCCGCCGCCGCCGCCUCCCCGGGGGCUCGGGCCGCCUGUUGCUGGCGGAGCAGCGGCGGGGGCGGGCAUGCCGGGCGGCGGCGGCGGGCCCGCGGCGGCGCUGCGCGAGCAGGAGCGGGUGUACGAGUGGUUUGGGCUGGUGCUGGGCUCGGCGCAGCGCUUGGAGUUCAUGUGCGGGCUGCUGGACCUGUGUAACCCGCUGGAGCUGCGCUUCCUCGGUUCGUGCCUGGAGGACCUGGCGCGCAAGGACUACCACUACCUGCGCGACUCGGAGGCUAAGGCCAACGGCCUCUCGGACCCCGGGCCGCUGGCCGACUUCCGAGAGCCCGCCGUGCGCUCGCGCCUCAUCGUCUACCUGGCGCUGCUGGGCUCGGAGAACCGUGAGGCCGCCGGUCGCCUGCACCGCCUCCUGCCCCAGGUGGACUCGGUGCUCAAGAGUCUGCGCGCGGUUCGGGGCGAGGGUUCGCGGGGCGGCGCGGAGGACGAGCCCGGCGAGCGCGGGGAGGACGGCCAAGGCGAGGAGGACGCAGAGAAGGACGGUUCCGGCCCGGAAGGCAGCGGCGCCGAGCCCCGGCCCGGCGGCGGGCUGGGCUUCAGGGCCCAGGAGGAACUGCUGCUGCUUUUCACCAUGGCUUCGCUGCACCCGGCGUUCUCCUUCCACCAGCGGGUCACCCUGAGGGAGCACCUGGAGAGGCUCCGCACCGCGCUCCGCGGGGGGCCCGAGGACGCAGAGGUGGAGGUGGAGCCGUGCAACUUUGCCGGCCCCCGGGCCCAGAGUGACUCCGCUCACGGUGACUACCCGCAGAGUCAUGAGGCCAGCGUGCUGGCACGAGCCCUGAUACCUCACGACGGACUUCCUGCGGCGCCGCACAGAGCCCAGCGAGAAGCUGUGCACAUCGAGAAGAUAAUGUUGAAAGGAGUCCAGAGAAAAAGGGCUGACAAAUAUUGGGAGUACACCUUCAAAGUAAAUUGGUCUGAUCUUUCAGUCACAACAGUAACAAAAACCCACCAAGAACUACAAGAAUUUCUACUGAAGCUCCCAAAGGAAGUGUCUUCCGAGACUUUUGACAAGACCAUCUUAAGAGCCCUGAAUCAGGGUUCGUUGAAAAGGGAAGAACGGCGACAUCCUGACCUAGAGCCCAUCCUAAGGCAGCUAUUUUCAACUUCAUCCCAAGCUUUUCUACAGAGUCAGAAAGUGCACAGCUUCUUUCAGUCCAUAUCACCAGACCCUCUGCACAGCCUCAAUAACUUACAGUCCUCUCUGAAGACUUCUAAAAUAUUAGAACACUUAAAGGAAGACAGCUCAGAAGCUUCGAGUCAAGAAGAAGAUGUGUUACAGCACACCAUAAUCCACAAGAAACACACCGGCAAGAGUCCCCUUGUGAACACCAUUGGUACAAGUUGUUCUCCGUUGGAUGGGCUCACCGUGCAGUAUUCUGAACAGAACGGAAUUGUGGAUUGGAGAAAGCAGAGCUGCCCCGCCGUUCAGCACCCGGAGCACUGUGUGGCCUUAGCUGACCAGCAUUCAACUGAAAAACGAAGCUUAUCUUCAAUAAAUAAGAAGAAAGGAAAGCCACAAAUAGAAAAGGAGAAAAUUAAGAAAACUGACAACAGAUUGAAUAGUAGAAUAAAUGGUAUCAGACUCUCAACUUCCCAGCAUGCCCAUGGUGGUUCUGUGAAAGAUGUGAAUUUGGACAUUGGAUCUGGACAUGACACAUGUGGAGAAACCUCUUCAGAGAGUUACAGUUCUCCCUCUAGCCCACGACAUGAUGGAAGAGAAAGCUUUGAAAGCGAAGAAGAAAAAGACAGAGACACAGACAGCAAUUCUGAGGAUUCUGGGAAUCCGUCAACAACCAGGUUUACAGGCUGUGGUUCUGUCAACCAGACCGCCAGUGUCAAGCCACCUGUUCAGAUUGCUUCUUUAGGAAGCGACAACGGAGGCCUUCUAGGAGACCCCCUACAUGCGCCCAAGUAUCAGCAUAUUUCUUUUAUGCCAACUUUACACUGUGUCAUGCACAAUGGUGCCCAGAAGUCUGACGUUGUCGUCCCUCCACCCAAAUCCGCUGAUGGCAAGACAAUAGGGAUGCUUGUUCCCAGUCCCGUUGCAAUUUCUGCAAUAAGGGAGUCCACGAAUUCUACCCCUGUUGGAAUACUGGGGCCAACAGCUUCUACCGGAGAAUCCGAAAAACACCUCGAAUUACUGGCUUCCCCUUUACCUCUUCCGUCGGCGUUCCUCCCGCACAGCAGCGCCCCUGCUCUGCACCUGACAAUUCAGAGGCUAAAGUUGCCGCCGCCACAGGGGUCCUCCGAGAGUUGCCCGGUUAACAUCCCGCAGCAGCCACCCGCGAGUCUGAGCAUCGGAUCACCAAACACUGCCUUUAUCCCUGUCCAUAGCCCAGGUAGUUUUCCGGGAUCUCCUGUGGCUACCACGGACCCCAUCGCAAAAUCUGCAUCCCAGGUGGUAGGACUCAAUCAAAUGGUGCCUCAAAUCGAGGGAAACACUGGGACAGUCCCUCAGCCUACCAAUGUGAAGGUAGUUCUCCCAGCAGCCGGCCUUUCGGCCGCACAGCCACCAGCUUCCUACACCUUGCCGGGCUCCCCGCUUGCUGCCGGCGUGCUGCCCAGCCAGAAUUCCAGCGUGCUCAGCACGGCGGCGGCGGCGGCCCAGUCCGCGGGUGCGGGCAUCAGUCAGGCCCAGUCGGUUCCUCCCGCGGUUCCCACCCACACCCCAGGCCCCGCCCCCAGCCCGAGCCCCGCUUUGACACACAGCACCGCGCAGAGCGACAGCACGUCUUACAUCAGCGCUGUGGGAAACACGAACGCUAACGGGACAGUAUUGCCGCCGCAGCAGAUGGGCUCGGGUCCUUGCGGUUCUUGCGGGCGGAGGUGCAGCUGCGGGACCAACGGCAGCCUUCAGCUGAACAGUUACUAUUAUCCCAACCCGAUGCCCGGACCAAUGUACCGAGUCCCGUCGUUCUUUACUCUGCCAUCCAUCUGCAACGGCAGCUACCUCAACCAAGCACAUCAGAGCAAUGGAAACCAACUUCCUUUUUUUCUGCCUCAGACUCCGUAUGCGAACGGCCUGGUGCACGACCCGGUCAUGGGGAGCCAAGCCAACUACGGCAUGCAACAAAUGGCGGGGUUUGGGAGAUUCUACCCUGUGUAUCCAGCACCUAACGUAGUUGCCAACACGAGCGGUUCGGGGCCCAAGAAGAACGGGAACGUUUCAUGUUACAACUGCGGUGUAAGCGGGCACUACGCACAGGAGUGCAAGCAGUCGUCCAUGGAGGCCAGUCAACAAGGCACUUACAGACUGAGAUACGCACCUCCCCUCCCCCCUUCUAAUGAUACGUUGGAUUCUGCAGACUGAAACGCGUAAAGCUUGACUGCUUAAUACCCUGACGUGUUGGGGAGUCAUGGUGGGGUGUGGAGGGGAGGAAAGGAAAGUCAUAUGGUUUUGAAAAAGAGAAACUUUGCUUCUUCCCAGCUUUUCUCACUUUCACCGCAAAGGACACACGUCUCCCCGCCACCCCCUUUCCUGUGGCCUGUAAAUCCAGGGUGAAGUGCUUCACCUUCAUCUGAGAGGAGAAAUCAAGUUCCCCAAAUCGUGUGUAUAUAUGUAAUAAACAGCAUCACGUAAAUACAUAUAUGCAGUGCUUGUUGUCCAAAUCAAAAUUCAAGUUAAGUGGAAGAGAGCGGAAGAAGUAAAACCAUAUGAAACUGAAAAAAUAUGAUGUAUGAAGCGGACAAAGAGCUUUUUCUUAAAAAAAAAAACAAAACAACAAAAAAAGUUUUUACUUCGUCAUACUUUUUUAGCCUGUUGCUUCAGAGAGACAUAAAGUGAACAAAUGUGUGAGUGUCGUGUGUGUGUGUGUGUGUGUGUGUGUGUGUGUCUGUGUCUGUGUCUGUGUCUGUGAUGACAGUCGACGGCUGAUCUCUCUUGUAGUCUGUCACCGUGUCGUGCUAAAGAGACACUACCGGAGUAAAGAUUGCUUCUUUUCUCACGCCGACUGUAGCAGUGAUACGUUGUGUUCGAGAUGUGUGUGGUCUGUUGCAGUCCGAGCGGAAGCUCUGGUUUCUGCGAAAGUCAGGUUCGUUCCCUAACCCGUCUCUCUCGUCGCAAAGUCACUUUGAUAAGUUUCCCACUCUGCGUGAUCAUAAUGUGAAAGACUGGCUUCCGAGUGUGUUCAGACAGUAGUAAGCAUGUCUGUGUCCUGUCACUAAGUUUAAUGCUGCUGUUUUCAAAAAAAAAAAAAAAAAGUUUUUUUUAAAGCCAAUCUAUGUACUAAAUUGCUUCCAGGUAAUUUUUGAUUUCCUAAAGUGCACUGAGAUUAUCUGGAAGCCUUGGGUGUAUUUUUGGAACUGCUGCAUUCAACAGCGAUGAGCAUCUGCCCCCGUACGGUCAGGGGUUCAGGGUCGGGCUGGUUUUGUUUUCCCAUUCCUCAGUACAGAGCAGAAGGGAUAGAUUCGUGUCGUGUGGGGCAGUGUCAGUGCCCAGCAGAGGAACUUAAAUACUUGGCCUGGGUUCAGAAGCCCAACAGAUUGCUAGAUAAAAGGAAAAACUUGAAGAAAAGAGAAGCUUCAUUUAAUGCUUCAUGGGUAGCAUUUAUAUUUAUAACAGCAAUGUACAUUUUGAAACUAACUUUCAGGGUGGGAGUUCGGGGGGAAGGGAA